ACUUCCACCGAGGCCGAACGCCCUUAUUUUCGCUCAUAUCUCUAUUACAAGACCAGCUUACAAGAUGUAUAUCUUAUUGACUCUCAUCAGCUUAUUUCAAUCCGUGAACGCACAGACCAUCCGCCAGGUUCCAACCGCUGUCUCCAAAUUACCCAAGGAGAGUGUGAAAAUGAAAUGUCUUUUCGAUGGGAGCAGCAGUAACCCUACAAUCUACUGGUACAGACAAUACCCGGGGAAGGAGCCGCAGGCGAUGUUUUAUUCCACUGCAAUCGAUUACGUGAAUCCAGAGGAAGCAGUGGACGGUUUCACUGCCCAGCGACCUACUGGCUUUGAGUUCAGCCUGAAAUCCUCCAGCCUGUCGGUGAAUCACUCGGCAGUGUAUUACUGCGCCUGGCGUGUUCACAGUGACUCAGAGAGCUGGCGCCGCACAACAAAAACCCCAAGGGCUGCAGCUAUUUUAGAUAACGCUGCGCGGUACCUCCACCCACUUUGUUGA